GAUGAACGCUGGCGGCGUGCCUAAUACAUGCAAGUCGAGCGAACGGACGAGCAGCUUGCUUUUCUGAUGUUAGCGGCGGACGGGUGAGUAACACGUGGAUAACCUACCUAUAAGACUGGGAUAACUUCGGGAAACCGGAGCUAAUACCGGAUAAUAUUUUGAACCGCAUGGUUCGAAAGUGAAAGACGGUCUUGCUGUCACUUUUAGAUGGAUCCGCGCUGCAUUAGCUAGUUGGUAAGGUAACGGCUUACCAAGGCAACGAUGGGUAGCCGACCUGAGAGGGUCGACGGCGACGUUGGGAAUGAGAUAGGGGCGAGACUCCUACGGGAGGCAGCAGUGGGGAAUAUUGCACAAUGGGAGGAAGCCUGAUGCAGAGACGCCGGGUGGGGGAUGACGGCCUUCGGGAUGUAAACAUAUUUCGACAGGGACGAAGCUUCGGUGACGGUACCUGUAUAAGAAGCCCCGGCUAACUACGUG
rnacentral:rRNA from 1 species